rnacentral:rRNA from 1 species
AGAUGGCGACCGGCGCACGGGUGAGUAACACGUAUCCAACCUGCCGAUGACUCGGGGAUAGCCUUUCGAAAGAAAGAUUAAUACCCGAUGGCAUAGUUCUUCCGCAUGGUGGAACUAUUAAAGAAUUUCGGUCAUCGAUGGGGAUGCGUUCCAUUAGGUUGUUGGCGGGGUAACGGCCCACCAAGCCUUCGAUGGAUAGGGGUUCUGAGAGGAAGGUCCCCCACAUUGGAACUGAGACACGGUCCAAACUCCUCGGGAGGCAGCAUG